AGGGGCUACCGGGCAAGCAGAUCUAGGAUCCAAAGUGUUCUUGAGAAGUAAGAAAUCAGAGCAGACUGAGAGAGACUCGCAGAAAAAACAGAGUUGUCUGAGGAAGCCUGGAUCAGAAGUCCUAUAGUGGAGAAGAGAGUGAUUUAAAGGAAAACUUCCAAUACCUCCAGUGGCUGUGGAAGUGCUCAUCUGAACAAGUGACCUCGCCCCCAAGCCGAGCCCUCUCAGGCUGCCUUUCCUGUUCUUUCC